rnacentral:rRNA from 1 species
UUCGCAAUGCCCGAAAGGGUGACGAAGCGGCGCCGCGUGCGGGAAGAAGGCCUUCGGGUUGUAAACCGCUGUCGGGAGUUAAGAAAUGUAAGGAUGUUAAUAGCAUCUUUGCUUGACUAAGGCUCCGGAGGAAGCCACGGCUAACUCUGUGCCAGCAGCCGCGGUAAUACAGAGGCGGCAAGCGUUGUUCGGAAUUAUUGGGCGUAAAGAGCACGUAGGCGGCUAUGUAAGUCGGUUGUGAAAGCCUUCCGCUCAACGGGAGAACAGCAUCCGAUACUGCAUGGCUUGAGUGCGGGAGGGGAGAGUGGAACUUCUGGUGGAGCGGUGAAAUGCGUAGAUAUCAGAAGGAACGCCGGCGGCGAAAGCGGCUCUCUGGCCCAUAACUGACGCUGAGUGUGCGAAAGCUAGGGGAGCAAACGGGAUUAGAUACCCCGGUAGUCCUAGCCGUAAACGAUGGGCACUAAGUAGAGGGGUUUU